rnacentral:rRNA from 1 species
CCUACGGGGGGCAGCAGUGGGGAAUAUUGGACAAUGGGCGAAAGCCUGAUCCAGCCAUGCCGCGUGUGUGAAGAAGGCCUUCGGGUUGUAAAGCACUUUCAGUGGGGAAGAAAGCCUUGGGGCUAAUACCCUCGAGGAAGGACAUCACCCACAGAAGAAGCACCGGCUAACUCCGUGCCAGCAGCCGCGGUAAUACGGAGGGUGCGAGCGUGUAAUCGGAAUUACUGGGCGUAAAGCGCGCGUAGGCGGUCUGAUAAGCCGGUUGUGAAAGCCCCGGGCUCAACCUGGGAACGGCAUCCGGAACUGUCAGGCUAGAGUGCAGGAGAGGAAGGUAGAAUUCCCGGUGUAGCGGUGAAAUGCGUAGAGAUCGGGAGGAAUACCAGUGGCGAAGGCGGCCUUCUGGACUGACACUGACGCUGAGGUGCGAAAGCGUGGGUAGCAAACAGGAUUAGAUACCCGGGUAGUC